AUGUGUCGGUCUUUUUUAAUUUGUAACAAAGAUUUUACAGACAUAUCAAAAAUAAGUAAGUCCUCUUUUGAAACCCAGAACUCAUUGUUCAGUAUGAGGCUUGAAACAUGUAGGAAGAAAUAGU
ensembl:snoRNA